GAAAUGCGAUAAGUAAUGUGAAUUGCAGAAUUCAGUGAAUCAUCGAAUCUUUGAACGCACCUUGCGCUCCUUGGUAUUCCUUGGAGCAUGCCUGUUUGAGUAUCAUGAAAUCUUCAAAGUAAAUCUUUUGUUAACUCAAUUGGUUUCUACUUUGGUAUUGGAGGUCUUUGCAGCUUCCAUUGCGUAGUAGCUAACACCUCGCAACUGGAGAGCGGCGCGGCCACGCCGUAAAACACCCAACUUCUGAAUGUUGACCUCGAAUCAGGUAGGAAUACCCGCUGAACUUAAGC
rnacentral:misc_RNA from 1 species